AUAAUAUAUUUGAGAGGCAUCUCUUGAGUAUCAAAGGUGAGCCAGUACAGGAUGGACCCGCGUCUGAUUAGCUAGUUGGUAAGGUAACGGCUUACCAAGGCGACGAUCAGUAGCCGACCUGAGAGGGGGAUCGGCCACAUUGGAACUGAGACACGGUCCAAACUCCUACGGGAGGCAGCAGUGGGGAAUAUUGCACAAUGGGCGAAAGCCUGAUGCAGCAACGCCGCGUGAGUGAUGAAGGCCUUCGGGUCGUAA
rnacentral:rRNA from 1 species